rnacentral:rRNA from 1 species
GACGAACGCUGGCGGCGUGCUUAACACAUGCAAGUCGAACGGAAAGGCCCUGCUUUUGUGGGGUGCUCGAGUGGCGAACGGGUGAGUAACACGUGAGUAACCUGCCCUUGACUUUGGGAUAACUUCAGGAAACUGGGGCUAAUACCGGAUAGGAGCUCCUGCUGCAUGUUGGGGGUUGGAAAGUUUCGGCGGUUGGGGAUGGACUCGCGGCUUAUCAGCUUGUUGGUGAGGUAGUGGCUUACCAAGGCUUUGACGGGUAGCCGGCCUGAGAGGGUGACCGGCCACAUUGGGACUGAGAUACAGCCCAGACUGCUACGGGAGGCAGCAGUGGGGAAUAUUGCACAAUGGGCGGAAGCCUGAUGCAGCAACGCCGCGUGCGGGAUGACGGCCUUCGGGUUGUAAACCGCUUUCGCCUGUGACGAAGCGUGAGUGACGGUAAUGGGUAAAGAAGCACCGGCUAACUACGUG